UCCAAUCAAAAACAAAACUUGUACCAAACAAAGCUGAGAGUAGAAACUCGAAGCAAUUCAUGAAUGUGAAGAUGAUGCUCCGCCGCAGCUCAACAGGUAUGCUUUCUUCUCUUGCUGUUCCCCUCGUCAACAAUUUCAUGCCUUUGUUUCAUUCGAGACAAACCCAUCUAAGAAAUCGACCCAAUAUUGUGAGUAAUGUUGAGGAUGCUUCGAUGUUGUUCCAUGAAAUGCUUCACUCCCGUCCUCUGCCUUCUGUUGUCCGUUUUACUCAGAUAUUGGGUCAACUUGUCAAAUUGAAACACUAUUCUGAAGUAAUCUCUUUGAAUAGACAAAUGCUUCUGCGUCGAAUUGUUCCUGUUGACUACACUCUUAACAUUAUCAUCAACUGCUAUUGCCAUUUGAAUCAAAUGGGCUUUAGCUUGUCUGUCUUUGGAACAUUCUUCAAAUUGGGUCUUCAACCAAAUGUUAUUACCUUCUCCACUCUAAUCAACGGCUUUGUUCUCAAGAAUCAAGUGCCUGAGGCUGCACGAGUUUUCAGCAAAAUGGUGGAGGCAGGUCAUUGUAAGCCCAAUGUGGUCACUUUCAACACACUAAUAAAGGGCUUUUGCACGAUAGGAAACAAGAGUGCUGCUAUUCGGUUACUUGGAAAGAUGGAAGAAAACGGUUGUAAGCCUAACAUAGUUUCCUAUAACACCAUCAUCGACUGUCUUUGUAAGGAUACACUAAUUGAUGAAGCAUUCAACCUCUUGUCACAACUGAUUAGUAGAGGUAUUGCUCCAAACAUUGUUACUUACAGCACUUUGAUUGACGGAGUCUGCAAACUAGGCCAGUGGAAACAAGCUACAAGGCUGUUGGAUGAAAUGUCGAGUAAAGGUAUCUUUCCGAAUCUCCUCACUUUCAAUGUCUUGGUUGAUACAUUUUGUAAGGAAGGGAUGGUUGUGGAAGCCAAAAGUGUGGUUCAAAUAAUGAUUCAAAGACAUAUUGAGCCUGAUACAGUUACAUACAGCUCCCUUAUGGAUGGUUACUGUUUGCGAGGAGAAAUGCACGAGGCAAGACAAGUUUUUGAUCUUAUGAUUAGCAAGGGCUCCACGGUUACUGUUCGGAGUUGUAACAUAUUGAUUAACGGAUAUUGCAAGGCUAAAAAGGUUGAUAAGGCUCACAAGAUUUUCAAGGAAAUGCGUCGUAUGGAAAUUGUUCCCAAUACCAUUACUUAUAACACUCUUAUUGAUGGUCUUUUCAAAGCGGGGAGACUACAAGAAGCAGAAAAGUUGUUAUCUGAGAUGCUAGGUUGUGGACAGCUUCCAAACCUUCGAACUUACACUGUGAUAGUUGAUGGCCUGUGUAACAACCGGCAACUUUCUACGGCAAUAGAAUUGCUUAAAGAGAUGGAAGCCAACAAAGUAGAACUUAAUAUCGUAGUUUACAAUCUUGUUAUUGAAGGAUUGUGCAAAGCUGGAAAAAUUGAAUCCGCAAGAGAUCUUUUCUGUGUUUUGUCAUCAAAAGGAGUUCGGCCUGAUGUGAGAACAUACACUAUAAUGAUUCAGGGCCUUUGUCAUCAUGGCUUAAUAAUUGAAGCAGAAAAGCUGCUGAGAGAAAUGGGAGGGGAAGGAUGUUCUCCAGAUGGUUGUACCUAUAACAUCAUUAUCCGAGGGUUGUUAAAUAACUGUGAGACAUCAUGGGCUAUGAAACUAAUUCAAGAAAUGCUUGAGAGGGGUUUCUCUGCAGAUGCAUCAACAAUGGAAUUGAUUGUUGAUUUAUUGUCGAAGGAUAUAGUAGAUCCGGCUUUGUUGCAGCUGUUAAAAGAUUCAUGAUAAAGUUGAUUUGAACUCUAUUAUGCUCAGAUUCAGAAGUUUGAACUAGUUGGCUUAAGGUAACUCUUGGAACUCAACCUGUAAGGUUGUUUGAUUGGUAAACUAGAACCUGACAGGCACAUGAAGGGUUCUUAGGAAUUGUAUAGAGACCUUUUAGAGGCAUAUUCAAAUAUCAUUUUGGGUCUUGUAUGAAUCUGGUAAUGUUAUAAAAUUCCAUCUUUAAUCAUAAAUAUCUACUCCCAGUUACCUAACAGCAGGAGGUUCAAUUUAGUCUACAUAGUUGACCGUGAGGCAUUGAGUAAAUUCUUAACCUGAAACUAGUCUGCAUAUGCUAUACUUCUUGUAUUCAUCAAGUUCCCAUUGAAAAAGGAUCCACACAAGCAAAAUGAGGUAUUAGACCUUGUUGUUCCCUGAAUCAAAGGAAAUAAUCAAUAAAAGAUUAACAAAUUUCAGUUCGCUGUCCCUCCAUGCUGUGUUGAAUGUUUUUAUGACCUUUUGCUUCGCUCAUCAUGUUUACUGAAUUGUAAACCUUUCUUUAUUAUCACUAAAUUUGGCAAUUACUUCAGCCAACCCUUUUGUUCUCCUUUUUCUAUGCUUUUAGAAAAAUGUAAUAAUUCGCUGUGCUGGAACAAUCCCUUUGUUAUUGGUAGUCAUAUUAUGUACACCUUCAUGUCCCCUCUGUUGUUUCUAAAGCUCCUUUUCUGAUGUACAAGAGUUAUUCUGCACUUCUUAAUAUUUCUUGAGCAAUCCAUGGCCCUUUUUGUAACUCGAGCAAUUCAAAAGAUGAGGGAUGCAGUUCAUGACUUGCGUACAAUGCCCACCUGUUGCAACGUCACAAUUUGUUUUCCUUUUCUUUUCUUUUUUUCUUCAAAGAAAGGCUUUAAAAGUGAUUGAACACAGAAGUCUUGCGGGUGUUUUCAAUUGAUUUGAACAAUCAUGGCUACUAGUUGGCAGUAAUUGUUUUUGUAUACAUUGUGCUUUGAAUCAAUUUUCUCUUCACCCAAAAAUGAUACAGGAAUUGGCUGUUCAUUGUCAUUCUCGCAUUUAGUAUCCUUUAUUUUCUUUGUCUUUAGUGGCAAGGUUUUGCAUUAUUUUUGUUGAACUAUUCUUAAAUCCCAAUCUAUGUCAUCUAUUGAGUUCAGAAAGUGGGUUGAAUUAUGGAGCAAUAAGCAUGUCCUUUGGGAUCAAAAUACAUUGGUCAAAAAUAAUUUUGAUCCGUCACUUAUGACUCAUAACUGCAAAACAUGAUUGGUAAGUCCAUCACAAGCAGUUUUGCUUAUACUACCCUCUCAAAUCCAAUAUGCAUUUAAUCAAUUUUAACCAAAGUUCAUGUCAUCUAUUUGCUACAAUUCUAAUUCAAUGGAUGCUGGGAAGAUUUUGGACACUUGAGACUCAAAGAAGAGGAAAUAUGAGCUUCUGAUAGUUAACUCCCAAUUAAAAUUACCAUUAGCAGUUACCACUCAGUUUUGUCAACCCAAGUUUUUGCAGGCUAGAGGGUGAGCAGGGAUAGAUCUAGUUGAAAUAUAGAACUUGGGUGAAGUACAGAGAAGCUUUAGCGAUGUACCAUUAGUGGAAAUUGUUUCCCUUGAACUUUUAGGUGAAAUUGUCCAAAAUAAUGGAUGAUAUAUAUUCUGCUUUACUCUGUUUUAUAGGUAAUAGCAUCAUAAUGGUUGGUUGAAACAACGUUCCUUCUCCCUAUUAGAGCUCCAGUUCCAAGAUACUAGAGUUGGACUUCAUCAGAAGAGUUGUAGCACCCUGCAAUGGCGAUAAGUGCUGAAUUGCUGAUAUCCAUGGUGGCAUGUUGUGCUUGUAACUAUUCAUUGUUUAAGAUAGGCUGCCAACCAAAAGUAUAAUUGUUGUACUACUCAAUAGAUUGUAAUUGAGCUCUUUUGUUUCUUAUUAUAACCGUGAGGCUGACGUGUAGUUGAUAAAUAGACACUGAACAAAACUUGGGUCAUAUGAUUGGAUUGGUUUCUGUAAUCCAGCUUUGUUCCCAGUUGUUAAAAUAUUCAUGAUAAAGUUGAUUUGAACAUUUCAAACAGAUCACUUUCUUAGUAUGAAAAGGAAACGUGAGAGUUCUGCACCUAUUAAAACCUUGGAUGUACUAUAUACAUAGAUACAUUGUCAUUUCAGAAAUCAAAUAGCAUUUUAGCAGUGUCAUAUCCUUAUCCUUAUAACUUGGAACUUGGAACUUUCAUUGCUAUUGACUAAUUCUAGCUAGAUUGAUAAGCUGCUAUUUAUAUGGCGCUGCAUUAAUCAGUAAGGCAGAUUAGAGUUAUUAGGAAAGAAGCUAAUUGAUUAUGGUACAGUGUUUUAUGGAUAUCUUUAUCUUACAGGUAGCAGUACGUAGUACACCUAUAUGAUGUUCUGAUAUUCUCCGUCUUUGGUAGUACACCUGAAUGUUGUUUUCAUUAUUUCCAUGUCGUGAUAUCUGUCAUAUAAGUUAGCAAGGGAAGCUCACAUAGUUAAGAGCAUCCAUCUCAAGCAUGUAAUUUUAUUUCUUCAGAUAAUUAGCUAUGAUUUACUUGGCACUUUCUCAGCAUUUAAAAGAUGCUUUUAUACAAGUUGAAGAAUGCCGGUUAAUCAUCGAACAGGAACUGAAAAGUAUCGGUAGGGAGUCGGAUGAAUAAAUGAUUUUUGAGUUGGUUGUAUUCUACAAAGAUAUUCAUCCUGUGGUGAAGUCCAGAAAGAAACUUGGUAAUCCAUUUAUAGUGAGAUUAUGAGGAACGUUGGUGCUGGAGGUGGACAGAAUGAACAGAACUACCAAUCCUUAGUUUAAGGAGUAUAUUAGCUGCUACCAACAAUUUCUAUGAAGCUGAUAAACUAGGAGAGGGAGGGUUUGGCCCUGUUUAUAAGCUGCAACACUUCCACACUACUGUUCUUCAUGAUUUUAAUAGUUUCCCUCAGAUUCGUAAGGAAGUGAUUUUUUUUUUGUCUCAGAUUUGCUUUUUUGCCUGAAAAUCAAGGAGUAGCCAUAAAGAGACUGUCAAAGAAGUCCGGGCAAUGAUAUAAGUAGUUCAUGAAUGAGUGAAAGCUUAUGGCCAAGCUUCAACAUACGCAUCUUGUUAGGCAGAUGCGUAUGUUGAAGCUUCUGGUCAACGCCGGUCAACCUUGAAGAGGAGGAAUUGAUAUUGAUCCAACAGUACGUGCUGAAUCUAAGUUUGGACAAAUUUUUGUUUGGUGUUUUCUCAAUACUUCUAAGAUUAAUUCUUUGAUCAUACUCGUGAUUUAGUUGAGAAAGUCAUUCUUCAUCGUUUGUCC